UACGGGGGGGGCAAGCGUUGUUCGGAGUUACUGGGCGUAAAGGGCUCGUAGGCGGCCAACUAAGUCAGACGUGAAAUCCCCAGGCUCAACCUGGGAACUGCGUCUGAUACUGGUUGGCUUGAAUCCGGGAGAGGGAUGCAGAAUUCCAGGUGUAGCGGUGAAAUGCGUAGAUAUCUGGAGGAAUACCGGUGGCGAAGGCGGCAUCCUGGACCGGCAUUGACGCUGAGGAGCGAAAGCCAGGGGAGCAAACGGG
rnacentral:rRNA from 1 species